rnacentral:rRNA from 1 species
AUGACGACCGGCGUACGGGUGAGUAACGCGUAUGCAACCUGCCCUGUACUGGGGGAUAGCCCGGAGAAAUUCGGAUUAAUACCCCAUAAAUAUAUUUGGAGGCAUCUUCAGAUAUUUAAAGUUUCGACGGUACGGGAUGGGCAUGCGUAACAUUAGCUUGUUGGUAAGGUAACGGCUUACCAAGGCUACGAUGUUUAGGGGUCCUGAGAGGGAGAUCCCCCACACUGGUACUGAGACACGGACCAG